rnacentral:rRNA from 1 species
AGAGUUUGAUCCUGGCUCAGGACGAACGCUGGCGGCGUGCCUAAUACAUGCAAGUCGAGCGGACAGAAGGGAGCUUGCUCCCGGAUGUUAGCGGCGGACGGGUGAGUAACACGUGGGUAACCUGCCUGUAAGACUGGGAUAACUCCGGGAAACCGGAGCUAAUACCGGAUAGUUCCUUGAACCGCAUGGUUCAAGGAUGAAAGACGGUUUCGGCUGUCACUUACAGAUGGACCCGCGGCGCAUUAGCUAGUUGGUGGGGUAAUGGCUCACCAAGGCGACGAUGCGUAGCCGACCUGAGAGGGUGAUCGGCCACACUGGGACUGAGACACGGCCCAGACUCCUACGGGAGGCAGCAGUAGGGAAUCUUCCGCAAUGGACGAAAGUCUGACGGAGCAACGCCGCGUGAGUGAUGAAGGUUUUCGGAUCGUAAAGCUCUGUUGUUAGGGAAGAACAAGUGCGAGAGUAACUGCUCGCACCUUGACGGUACCUAACCAGA